rnacentral:rRNA from 1 species
AACGAACGCUGGCGGCAUGCCUAACACAUGCAAGUCGAACGAGACCUUCGGGUCUAGUGGCGCACGGGUGCGUAACGCGUGGGAACCUGCCCGUAGGUUCGGAAUAAUUCCCCGAAAGGGGUGCUAAUACCGGAUAAUGUCUUCGGACCAAAGAUUUAUCGCCUUUGGAUGGGCCCGCGUUGGAUUAGCUAGUUGGUAGGGUAAAAGCCUACCAAGGCGACGAUGCAUAGCUGGUCUGAGAGGAUGAUCAGCCACACUGGGACUGAGACACGGCCCAGACUCCUACGGGAGGCAGCAGUGGGGAAUAUUGGACAAUGGGCGCAAGCCUGAUCCAGCAAUGCCGCGUGAGUGAUGAAGGCCUUAGGGUUGUAAAGCUCUUUUACCCGGGAUGAUAAUGACAGUACCGGGAGAAUAAGCUCCGGCUAACUCCGUG